UACGUAGGGUGCAAGCGUUAAUCGGAAUUACUGGGCGUAAAGCGUGCCCAGGCGGUUUUGUAAGUCUGUCGUGAAAGCCCCGGGCUCAACCUGGGAAUUGCGAUGGAGACUGCAAGGCUUGAAUCUGGCAGAGGGGGGUAGAAUUCCACGUGUAGCAGUGAAAUGCGUAGAGAUGUGGAGGAACACCGAUGGCGAAGGCAGCCCCCUGGGUCAAGAUUGACGCUCAUGCACGAAAGCGUGGGGAGCAAACAGG
rnacentral:rRNA from 1 species